rnacentral:tRNA from 1 species
GCGACACUAGCUCAGCUGGUAGAGCGCAACCUUGCCAAGGUUGAGGUCACGAGUUCGAAUCUCGUGUGUCGCU